rnacentral:rRNA from 1 species
CAGCCGCCGCGGGAAAACGGAGGGAGCUAGCGUUGUUCGGAAUCACUGGGCGUAAAGCGCACGUAGGCGGCUAUUCAAGUCAGGGGUGAAAGCCCGGGGCUCAACCCCGGAACUGCCUUUGAAACUAGAUAGCUUGAAUCUUGGAGAGGCGAGUGGAAUUCCGAGUGUAGAGGUGAAAUUCGUAGAUAUUCGGAGGAACACCAGUGGCGAAGGCGACUCGCUGGACAAGUAUUGACGCUGAGGUGCGAAAGCGUGGGGAGCAAACAGGAUUAGAUACCCCGGUAGUCCCUGUCUCUUAUAC